rnacentral:rRNA from 1 species
UCUCUCUGAAUCUGCGAACGGCUCCGCAAACCAGUUGUAAACUAUCGCAAGCCAUCCCUCGCUGAGUCCCUAACCGGACGAGGCUUGGGCUAGUUGGAUAACCCUGGUAAUUCUGAGGCUAAUACAUGCCCAUACAACCCCUUCUCAAGCAGGCACGCUCAAAAAGUGAGCCAGCGCGAGUCGGGGGGGUGUGUUCCUUAGCUUUGGAUGACAGGGAAUGGGUACACGCUCGGACCGCCUUAAAAAAUGGCUAGGUUUCGCUGACUCCCUCUGGGGACUGAUGCAAGCUUAGCCUGGUGGCUCUUGCCGUGUGCUUCUGACCUAUCAACUAGACUGCAGCGUAAUGGACAUGCUUUGGUUACAACGGGUACAGAGGAUUAGGGUUCGAUCCUGGAGAGUGGGCCUGAGAGAUU